rnacentral:tRNA from 1 species
UCCAAUGUAGCUCAGUUGUAGAGUACUUGCCUAGAAUGCACAAGGCCUUGGACUCAAAAUCCAGCACUGGAA